UGGGGAAUUUUGGACAAUGGGCGAAAGCCUGAUCCAGCAAUGCCGCGUGUGUGAAGAAGGCCUUCGGGUUGUAAAGCACUUUUGUCCGGAAAGAAAUCCUUGGCUCUAAUACAGUCGGGGGAUGACGGUACCGGAAGAAUAAGCACCGGCUAACUACGUGCCAGCAGCCGCGGUAAUACGUAGGGUGCAAGCGUUAAUCGGAAUUACUGGGCGUAAAGCGUGCGCAGGCGGUUUGCUAAGACCGAUGUGAAAUCCCCGGGCUCAACCUGGGAACUGCAUUGGUGACUGGCAGGCUAGAGUAUGGCAGAGGGGGGUAGAAUUCCACGUGUAGCAGUGAAAUGCGUAGAGAUGUGGAGGAAUACCGAUGGCGAAGGCAGCCCCCUGGGCCAAUACUGACGCUCAUGCACGAAAGCGUGGGGAGCAAACAGGAUUAGAUACCCUGGUAGUCCACGCCCUAAACGAUGUCAACUAGUUGUUGGGGGACUUCAUUUUCCUUAGUAACGUAGCUAACGCGUGAAGUUGACCGCCUGGGGAGUACGGUCGCAAGAUUAAAACUUAAAUGAAUUGA
rnacentral:rRNA from 1 species